GGAGGGUUGGCUGAGUGGUUUAAAGCGCUGGUCUUGAAAACCAGUUGGGGAGCAAUCCCCUCGGAGGUUCAAAUCCUCCACCCUCCG
rnacentral:tRNA from 1 species